rnacentral:misc_RNA from 1 species
AAAGUCGUAACAAGGUUUCCGUAGGUGAACCUGCGGAAGGAUCAUUACAAGAAACGAGGCUGCGUGCGCUCAUCCGCCCAGCCCCGCUCCUUACCUUGCCUACUGCACCGUUUGUUGCUUCCUGGCGGCAGACUGCCUGCCGCCAGGGACAUUGAAAUAACCUUGUAUGAGCAUUGAAGACCUGAAAUACGCGAAAUCGUACAACUUUCAACAAUGGAUCUCUUGGUUCUG